rnacentral:rRNA from 1 species
CUUGACUUAACCAUAAAAGGUCCAGCCUGCCCAGUGACAUUGUUCAACGGCCGCGGUAUCCUAACCGUGCGAAGGUAGCGUAAUCACUUGUCCUUUAAAUGAGGACUUGUAUGAACGGCCACACGAAAGCUAUGCUGUCUCCUUUUUCUAAUCAGUUAAACUAAUCUCCCCGUGAAGAAGCGGGGAUGAUCAUAUAAGACGAGAAGACCCUAUGGAGCUUUAAGCGAUUGAAACACUUGUACCCAUCUUCCACACUUCCGACAGUCUACGCUUAAUUUUACACUUUGUUUCUAGCUUUAGGUUGGGGUGACCACGGAGAAAAAACAAACCUCCACGCUGAAAGAGUUAAUCUCUAAACAAAAAGCUACAUCUUUAAGUAUUAAUACAUUAACCUGAAUUGACCCA